rnacentral:lncRNA from 1 species
AAACAACACAAAACAAAACAAAAACCUGCACAAUGCGAUAAACCUGGAAUUAAAGUGUUUUAACACACUCUAGUGAAAAAGAGUUCAUCAUGAAUGCCUGAUUGUUCUACUGUGUGCUAGUUACAAGAGUGAUUUUUUUUAGUGUUCAUGUGUAUUUAUUUAUUAGAAAUAUUAUACUACAAUGUACUGUCUUUUUAUGAAGAAAACAAGACAGUUUCACACAAUAGAUGUGAAUUUAUAAAUGUGAUAAAAUGGUGUUUUUCGAAUGUUAUUUCCUUUAGUGGGCUACACUAUAUGUCAUUAGGUUUAAGAAUUUUCAUAUGCACAAUGUAAAUGAAACUCUACAAUGUGUUAAGGCUGGAUGAAAAGUGUUUUUACAAAGAUGCUACAGAAAAGAGAAUUAGUCGUGAAUGCCUGAGUGUUCCACUCUGUUAGCAACAAGAGUGUUUUGUUUUUUAUUGUUCGGGUGAAUUUAUGUAUUAGACAUAUUAGACUACAUUAUAACUGUCUUUUUUGAAGAAAACAAGAUAGUUUUGCUCAAUAGAUGUGAAUUUUUAUAUACGAUAAGAAAGAUCUUAUUGGAAAGAUGUCCUUUAGUGUGUUACAGUGAAUGUCAUUACUUUUAAUUAUUUUCAUAUGCACAUUUUAAAUAAGACUGCACAAUGUGCUAAAGCUGGAAGAAAAGUGUUUUAACCGAGACACUACAGAAAAGAUACUUAAUCAUGAAUGCCUUUGUGUUCUACUCUGUUCUAGCAACAACAAAAGUGUUUUUUUUUAUAUUGUUCACAUGUAUUUAUUGAUUAGACAUACUAAACUACAUUAAAGCUGACUUUUU